ensembl:lncRNA novel transcript
GCUCCCGGUUAGGAAAUUGCCCCCAUUGGAACGCCUUGCCAGAGCAGCACGUAGCAGGCCCCCGUGGAGGAUCCACACAGUGGCUGAACACUGGGAAGGAACUGGCGCUUGGAGUCUGGACAUCUAAAAGUUGCUCCAUUGGGUUAGAGUCUCCCCGAGCGAGCUGGUCUCGGCAAGUGGCGUCCAUUCGUGGAGGCUCGAAUCCAGGUCAAAGGGUUGCUGGAGCGACGGUUGGAAUGGAAAACUAGCUGGAAGACACCCAAGUACUCUUAAAGCAAUCCCCGUGGAAUAACAUAUUGACUUACUGAACUGAAGCAUUCUGAGUUGAAAGGAGCCCCAGAGGAAAGGAGUUCUGUGUUGCUCACAUGUUAAAAGCUUGCUCACCUUCAGAGCAGAGGGAAUACCUAUCUUCAGAUAUCCGCCCAUUUUCAUCUCUUCAUUAUAGUCAAACAGUGUGACUUGAGAGUGUUGCUCUGGUGUCUGUAUUCUGGCUUAUGAAGAUUAUUUGAAAAAGAACUCUUACUACAUUGAAAUGCAGACUUUUAAAAAUUUAAAUAUUGGAUUAGGCAGUCAAAAAACCAAACAAGCAUAAAAGGUCAGUAAGUUGUAAUCUUAAAAGUAAAGGUGGAAAACUCAUUAUAAAUGGAAGAAAAGUUUUGAUUUCCUUUUUUGUUUGAUGGGCAGUAUGCCAUAUUAUAUCCAAAGUUGGUUUAAAAAAUACUUCCAUCAACUAUUUUUAUUUAAAAUAAACAUUUGAGGGAAGUUACCAAGGCAGCUUUUUUCCUCAAAAGUAACCUGUUCCUCUUUGGAACAGCACAUUUUAGGGGCAUGGUUAAUACCUGAGAUUUUUACUCAGUAAACCUGAUGGUUACCGUGUGUAAAAUAUCUUUAAGUAGGAUUGAAGGCCUCUGUGGGGAAUAUAAUGUUACCAAAGCCUAUAAAAAUAAAUUUUACAUGUUCUUUUUUAUGACAGAGAGCAGCACUGGUUCUGUUAUUUUUUAAAAUGAAUAACUGAUUUCUUGACAGGUGUUUAGUAUUUCUUCCCUCACUGCUGAUUCUUGGAUAGAAACCAUUCUUUGUAUUUGAUAGACUGUUUUCAGAAAACUCUUAUCAACAAGUGUACAAUAGUUAUCUAAAACUGUACAUUUAGAAUGGAGCAGUUUAAUACUAGAUCUCAGAAAUUUGAAAAAUAGCAAAGAAGAGUGGAUUUGGAAAGCAUGGUCUACAAUUGCUUGUCAAUUCUGAAGCUAUGAAGAAUAAAUGUUUCAGCUUUGGAUUAUGAAACCCCGUUUAUGAUUUUUAAAACACACUUGAAAUAAAAAUGAUUGAACUAAAUUUUGGUCCGGUGACAUCAUUUUGCACUGCAUAGCCCAUUAUACAUUGUAAGUCUUUUUGUUUUAAUUUAUUACUGAGAGUUUUCUGUGAAGCUACAGCAUAUCUAAUCAGAGAAUUUCUGAUUUGUUUCCUUAUACUGUGAUUAUGUUAUAUUAAGGCAUUUGUAGUGCAGCUUAAGACUGAAUUUAUGCUUUUUGUAAACAUGAUCGGUGUAAAUGUCUUAUAAACAUUCUGGAGUAUGUAUAACUUUAAUGAAUGAAAUUUAAUGGACCUGAUUAAAAUAAAGGGAUUUAAUCUUUGUUAAAGUGAAGUUAGUGGAAUAAAUUACCUACUGGAAUAUAGUCCAAGUCACUAAAGGUUUAAUAUUUGCAUUUUUGUGCUUUUAUUUUCUCCUUCCAUUCAUAAUUAUAUACUUGAAAGUACAUCUGUAGCCUAUGACUUGAGUCUCUUGAACUUCUAGGAAGAGGCAAACUACAAACUACUAGGAUUCUGAUUUCAGAUAUAGGCAUUCCAGAAUCUUCUCUUUACGAGUUCACCUGCUAGUAUAAUCUCCACAACUUGAAUGGCCUUGGUUGUUCUGUAAUUGCUGCCAAAAUCAUCACAAGCUGUACGUCAUCAAGGCUCCCUUUGCACUCCCAAGAAGAACUGUUCAUUUUAAACAAAAGUGUAUGUCUUUAUUUGUAUUGGAAAAUAUUGUCUUUAAAUUGUUUCUUGUUGACACUUCCCACAAUGGAAAAAUUACCAAAUUAAACCUGUUUUAUGGAUGGCAGCUUGGAGCAUAGCAAGAAGUUGGAGGAUUUGAAUUCCAUUCCCAGUUCUCAUUGCGUUUUGUUUCUUAAAACUAUAAUAAUUGGUUACUGUUAUAAAGUUUAAAAGGUGGUUUUAAUAUGAAUAGCAAAUUCUGGUAUAUUGUGACUAACGCUUAAGAAUGCCUGUCUUUGAGAGGAAGGUGUUAUAAUAUUAAUCAACAGUGCCAAAUACACUGUGCAUAUCUACAAUUUAAUCUUUGAAUGUUUGUUACUGGAUUAGCUCCCUCCUCCUUCUGUGUGAUGGUACCAUGCAUAGAGUCAAUCAAAUCCUUGUGAUGUUUUGUAUGGACUUUGACAACAUGUAACUAAUGUGUAAAGCAAGUUUUUAUGAUUAAGGAAUCAAAUUUAUUGAAUUUUAUUAUUGAAAGUUGAAACUUAACAUGUAUAAACAAAAAACAAUAAAAUAAUAAACUAUUUUC